AUUCUGGAGACAAUGAAAUAAGAUUUGCACACUGUGACAACACAGGUCUCUAACAGCGAAUCCAAGACUGGGAUUUUUUUAAAGCUCUCUUCCCUUCCCCACCUUGAGUGUACAAUGGAGAGUGCUAGUGUGGUGUCACAUGGUGCAACAUGGCUCAGUGUUGUGUGAAACUAAGAUUUGGGGCAUAUUUUAUAAUGAACAUAACAUAUGAGCAUAACAGUCGUGAUUAACGUAUACAAUUAAAGAUAUGUGGAAAUGACUCCAUCUCCGACCACACAUCCUCUGAGUAAUUUUGAUGGGGAUGGCUUAUGUUCUACUGCCACCUCGUGGUGGGCAUUCUGUGAACAUGCAUCUUGGAACAGUGGGGAGAACCAGUUUGGACUUCUGAGGAUCCAAAAGCCCAAGAAAAAAAUCUGAGUUCUCACGACAAAGUCACUUCCUGCUACAACACCUGGAAAAUGUCAUGACCCGAGCUAGUCUCACUUCAGAGUCCCUGGUUUCUAGUACGGUGCCUGACAGAUAGAUGACUUUCUUUAUAUGUUGCUGAAGACAGGCAGAGAGGAAGAAAGGAAGAGAGGAUAAAGGGAGGAAUAAACUUGAUAUAAGCAUCUUUGCAUAAUUAACAACUGGGUCAAAUUUUCUUCAUUUCAUUGAGAUUCUUGAUACAAGCCUCUGCUGAUGAAUUGGAUUCCAAAAAGCAGAUAUUGUUGUCCAGGCCACACCAUACGGGACUUACCACUCCCAGUUGCUAACAUCUGCACGUAUUUGCCUGGAGGUCUCCUCUGGUCACCAGAUCCUACUCUGCCUGGGCCACAUGACAAGGUGAUGUGCUGAGGAACAAAAGCCCCCAGGAGUAUCCCUCAAGCAGUGUUGGACUGGAGUUGAGAAUGGAUCCAGCCUGUCCAGGCCUUUGUGCUUGCUCUUCCCUCUUCCUGAAUAUUCUGACCUGGCUCUGUGUGUGUCUACUUCCUCCUCAUCUCUCAGAUCUCCUUUGCAAAAGGGCUUCCCCAAUGAUUUAAUUUAAUAUCAUCUUUUCAUGUACCCCAAAUGUCAUUCUCUAGCACUGUAUUCUGUUUAUUUCCUUCAUAGAAUCUACAGUAAAUUCUAAUCGUUUCAGG
rnacentral:lncRNA from 1 species